GGGGCUAUGGUGAAAUGGUUAUCACAGCGCUCUGUGGAAGCGCGGUCGUGGGUUCAAUUCCCACUAGCCCCC
rnacentral:tRNA from 1 species